rnacentral:lncRNA from 1 species
AGCACUGCAUGCCAAAGGAAGUUGGCUCUGACACAUGCCUAAGGGAUCGAUGGGGACGACUGACAAAUGAAGCGACCCUUUGUGGUGCGCGGAUGUCGUGAGAUUAGGUUCGCCAUGCAUGGUUAAUAAAUUCGAAUCGAUUCGUCUGCCUCUCACAGUUUGGGACUACUUGAUCGCUAUUAUGCACUGAGUAAAGAUGGAACAUGAUGAUGAUAU